GCGCUCUUGCAGUAGUGGUUAACUGGUUUCCUUCCCAAGGAAAAUACACGAGUUCGAAUCUCGUAGGGCGCA